rnacentral:snRNA from 1 species
AUACUUAACUGGACGGGGUCGACAGCCGAUCAAAAAGGGUUGCGGCCUAGAUUAAUGGCUCACAUUGCACAUGGUGAGUGCGUUGGUCUACCAUCUCCUUAAAUGGGAGAGUGGAUGUCGUAAUUUGUGAUAGAGGGGGUACACGUUCGCGCGGCCCUUG